rnacentral:rRNA from 1 species
GACGAACGCUGGCGGCGUGCUUAACACAUGCAAGUCGAACGGAAAGGCCCUGCUUUUGUGGGGUGCUCGAGUGGCGAACGGGUGAGUAACACGUGAGUAACCUGCCCUUGACUUUGGGAUAACUUCAGGAAACUGGGGCUAAUACCGGAUAGGAGCUCCUGCUGCAUGGUGGGGGUUGGAAAGUUUCGGCGGUUGGGGAUGGACUCGCGGCUUAUCAGCUUGUUGGUGGGGUAGUGGCUUACCAAGGCUUUGACGGGUAGCCGGCCUGGGAGGGUGACCGGCCACAUUGGUCCUGAGAUACGGCCCAGACUCCUACGGGAGGCAGCAGUGGGGAAUAUUGCACAAUGGGCGGAAGCCUGAUGCAGCAACGCCGCGUGCGGGAUGACGGCCUUCGGGUUGUAAACCGCUUUCGCCUGUGACGAAGCGUGAGUGACGGUAAUGGGUAAAGAAGCACCGGCUAACUACGUG